rnacentral:rRNA from 1 species
UCAAGCGAACAAGGGCGCAGGGCGAAUGCCUUGGCACUGGGAGCCGAUGAAAGACGUGAUAAGCUGCGAUAAGCUUCGGGGAGCUGCAAAUAAGCAUUGAUCCGGAGAUUUCUGAAUGAGGAAACUCACCUGGGUUCAUACUCAGGUACGUUACACUGAACUUCAAAAUAGGUGUAUCGGGGGAACCGCCUGAACUGAAACAUCUAAGUAGGGCGAGGAAGAGACAUCAAACGAGAUUCCGUAAGUAGUGGCGAGCGAACGCGGAAGAGGGCAAACCGAGAGUAGAAAUACUUUCGGGGUACGGACUGCUUUUAAGACUCAAUCUGUUAACCGAACGGCAUGGGAAGGCCGGUCAGAGAGUGUGAGAACCACGUAGGUGAAAGCGACAAGAGCUGAGCGAAUUCCAGAGUACGGCCAGACACGUGAAACCUGGUCGGAAGAUGGGGGGACCACCCUCCAACCCUAAAUACUACCCAGUGACCGAUAGCGUAUAGUACUGUGAAGGAAAGGUGAAAAGCACCCCGGGAGGGGAGUGAAAAAGAACCUGAAACCCUGUGCCUACAAGCACCUAGAGCACGUCAAUGUGUGAUAGGGUACUUUUUGUAGAACGGUCCGGCGAGCGAUUGUAUGCAGCAAGGUUAAGGACUUAAGGUCUGGAGCCGAAGCGAAAGCGAGUUUGAAAAGGGCGUUAAGUUGCAUAUAAUGGGCCCGAAACCGGGUGACCUACCCAUGGUCAGGUUGAAGUGGAAGUAAAAUUCCAUGGAGGACCGAACCGACCUCCGUUGAAAAGGCGGCGGAUGAACUGUGGGUAGCGGAGAAAUUCCAAUCGAACCCGGAGAUAGCUGGUUCUCCCCGAAAUAGUUUUAGGACUAGCCUCAAGUUAGAUACCUGGAGGUAAAGCACUGAAUAGCCUAGCGGCCGAGAGGUUAGCGAAGCUUAUCAAACUCAGAAUGCCAGAGUAUUGAUGCUUGGGAGUCAGACAGUGUCAGAUAAAUGUCAUUGUCAAAAGGGAAACAGCCCAGAUCUACAGCUAAGGUCCCAAAGUCAGGUUAAGUGGAAAACGAUGUGAAGAUACGCAGACAACCAGGAUGUUGGCUCAGAAGCAGCCACUCAUUCAAAGAGUGCGUAAUAGCUCACUGGUCGAGCGUCUUUGCGCGGAGAAUUUAACGGGGCUAAACCUGACACCGAAGCUUAGGCAAUACAGUAAUGUAUUGGGUAGGGGAGCGUUGUAUACGCGGAGAAACAGUAGCGCAAGCGGCUGUGGAGUGUAUAGAAGUGAGAAUGCCGGAAUGAGUAGCGCGAAUGCAGUGAGAAUCUGCAUGGCCGAAAGCCUCAGGUUUUUGGAGGAAGGUUCGUCCGCUCCAAGUUAGUCGGGAGCUAAGGUGAGGCCGGAAGGCGUAGCCGAUGCACAGACGGUAGAGAUUCCGUCACCACCAAAAGAGUUAAGCACAGGGACACAUUUGAAGUCUCAGAGCCGGGUGUUGGUUCCGGUAGAGAUCGAGGGAAAUUAGUACCGAAGUCUGAGAUGGAAGAUGGCGAGAAAAGCUGUGUGUAUUUCUGAGGUGCCCGUACCGCAAACCGACACAGGUAGGUAGGAAGAAGAUUCUAAGGCCAACGGGAGAAGGGUUGUUAAGGAACUCGGCAAAUUGACCCCGUAACUUCGGGAGAAGGGGUGCUCCAGAGAUGGAGCCGCAGAGAAUCGGCCCAAGCAACUGUUUACCAAAAACACAGGUUUGUGCUAAAUCGAAAGAUGACGUAUACGAGCUGACGCCUGCCCGGUGCUGGAAGGUUAAGAGGAGAUGUGCAAGCAUUGAAUCGAAGCCCCAGUGAACGGCGGCCGUAACUAUAACGGUCCUAAGGUAGCGAAAUUCCUUGUCAGGUAAGUUCUGACCCGCACGAAAGGCGUAAUGAUUUGGGCACUGUCUCAACAGCCCGCCCGGCGAAAUUGUAGUACCGGUGAAGAUGCCGGUUACCCGCGACAAGACG